rnacentral:rRNA from 1 species
UACGUAGGGGGCGAGCGUUGUCCGGAUUUAUUGGGCGUAAAGAGCUCGUAGGCGGCUUGGCAAGUCGGGUGUGAAACCUCCAGGCUCAACCUGGAGACGCCACUCGAUACUGCUAUGGCUAGAGUCCGGUAGGGGACCACGGAAUUCCUGGUGUAGCGGUGAAAUGCGCAGAUAUCAGGAGGAACACCGGUGGCGAAGGCGGGUCUCUGGGCCGAUAUUGACGCUGAGGAGCGAAAGCGUGGGGAGCGAACAGG